rnacentral:pre_miRNA from 1 species
GGUCCACUGCAGUGUGGAAGACUAGUGAUUUUGUUGUUCUUGGUGUUGAAACUGACAACAAGUCAUAGUCUGCCGCGCUGCUCUGUGAA